GCUUACUCCGUGCCAUGAGGCUCGGUAAUGUGGAGGGUCCAAGUGUUAUCCGGAAGCAUUGGGUUUAAAGGGGCCGUAGGCGGUCUUAUAAGUCAGUGGUGAAAGCCCAUCGCUGAACGAUGGAACUGCCAUUGAUACUGUAAGACUUGAAUGCUUAGGAAGUAACUAGAAUAUGUAGUGUAGCGCUGAAAUGCUUAGAUAUUACAUGGAAUACCAAUUGCGAAGGCAGGUUACUACUAAGUGAUUGACGCUGAUGGACGAAAGCGUGGGGAGCGAACAGGAUUAGAUCCCCCAGUAGUC
rnacentral:rRNA from 1 species